CCUCAGCUGGUGGAGCAGAAGUGCCUAAGGGAAAACUGCAGUCCCCCUGGCCCCUGCCCUGGCCACCCCAUCUCUGCAGCGCUGGCUGACUUGCGGUGGGUUGGGUGGUCCUGUAGCCUAGAGGACACACAUCCCGGAGACUGUAGCAUCUGGCAUUAUCUCUGCAUGCUGUUGACCCGGGAACACGCACGAUGGACUCUGAAUUUGUCUUCCAUGAAGUGACCUCUAGAGAUUGACUAGCAUCUCAGUCUAAAGACCCAGAAGAGGGAAACUAAUUUGUCCAACUGGGGUCAUGUGACAAGCUAUCGUCAGAGGCGCAGACGGCCAGAUGGCCCUAGGCUGGCGGCCAAGCCCACUCCAGAGAAAAUGGACAGUCUCUGAACAGGGCUGGGAAGGCACUCAGAAAGUGUUUACUACAAUAUGACUUUCAUCAACACAUCCCCCUACACUCUCUUCCGUUAAAGUUAUUUUUAUCUGUAUCACAGGUAAAUAUGGUUAUCUCCUGGU